AUCUAGCUUGCUAGAUGCUGACGAGUGGCGCACGGGUGCGUAACGCGUAUACAAUCUACCUUUAACUGAGGGAUAGCCCAGAGAAAUUUGGAUUAAUACCUCAUAGUAUUAUAAUUAGGCAUCUUUUUAUAAUUAAAACUUCGGUGGUUAAAGAUGAGUAUGCGUACUAUUAGCUAGUUGGUAAGGUAAAAGCUUACCAAGGCAACGAUAGUUAGGGGGCCUGAAAGGGUGAUCCCCCACACUGGUACUGAGACACGGACCAGACUCCUACGGGAGGCAGCAGUGAGGAAUAUUGCACAAUGGAGGAAACUCUGAUGCAGCCAUGCCGCGUGCAGGAAGAAUGCCCUAUGGGUUGUAAACUGCUUUUAUACAAGAAGAAACCUCGGUACGUGUACCGACUUGACGGUAUUGUAUGAAUAAGCACCGGCUAACUCCGUGCCAGCAGCCGCGGUAAUACGGAGGGUGCAAGCGUUAUCCGGAUUUAUUAGGUUUAAAGGGUCCGCAGGCGGAAUAUUAAGUCAGUGGUGAAAGCCUACAGCUCAACUGUAGAACUGCCAUUGAUACUGAUAUUCUUGAGUAUGGAUGAAGUGGGCGGAAUAUGUCAUGUA
rnacentral:rRNA from 1 species